rnacentral:rRNA from 1 species
UUCUCAGGCUAUACCACCCUGAAUACCUCUAAUCCUGCCUGAUCUCAGAUGCUAACCAGUGUCAGGCCUGGUUAGUACUUGGAUCAGAAAAACACACUUGUAUAA